CUCCUAGCGGAAGCGAUCUCUGCGUUGUCGACAAUGCGAACCCAAUGUCAUCAAGCCGGAAUACCAACCGGGGCUCUUGCAUUGCAACAGUGUGCGAACAUCAGUGUAAAUGCGAGGCAGCGGCUACUGCUGCCGCCGAAGCUGACACCGCCUACAUAGAAGAGGUAGGUGAUACGAAUGCCGUUUUAGAAGGAACUUGUUGCGACAAUUAUAGUACCACCUAAAUGACGGGAGUCGAAAAUCAUUGAAUUCCCUGCAAUUUUAAGAAACUUAAAGGCUGACAAAAAGAAGCUGAAUUAAAGGAAUUCUUAAUGCCUAUUGAAUCACAAAAGCUUCUGUUUAGAAGUAACUGGCAUCGAUACAAGAAUGCCCCUACCAAUUGCCCUAAUGAUGUUCCAAGAGUUGCUGCGCAAAUAGUAGCGAGCCGGCAACCUUCACGUAGUGAGAAUAUCCGAUUGGAAUUUGCCUCGUAAAAGAAUGAUGGCAAGAAUACUUCAAACUACAAAUCAAAAUGAAGCUUAGUCGAUUUGACUUCUGCCAUUCGGUUGAUUUGACGAUAUGCUAAGAAUCUUUCCAUGAUUAGUAAAGAUUCGUCGUGGAGUACUUAGUUUUUAAGUGAAGUUUUAAUUUUUUCAAAAUUGUAUGUAAUUGGGUAUAAUUUUUGUUUUUAAAAUUCAAUUUCAUUAUAGAUUAUAGGUUUUAUAAUGUAUAUUACAGCUCCCAAAUUGAGUGAAAUUAAAUCUAAGUAUAAAUUGAAAAUAAAGUGAAAUUGUUUUCAGGGUUCUAUCAUUAUAUGAAAUUG